rnacentral:lncRNA from 1 species
UUUACUUAAGUAGAGCUAAUUAAUAUUUUUGAUAAUAUUUUUAGUUAAUUAAGCUAAUUUUAAGCAUAUCUAGUCAUAAAGACCCAAAUUUCUAGCUCAUUCCUUAAGCUCAAUACCCAUUAAGCUAAUCCUAGGGAUUCUUCUAGACUAUUUUUUGAAACAAAAAAUAAAUAAAAAGACCAUAGAGACCUAGAUCUAUAUAAUUGGGGUAAUGCCUAAUGCUGAAGGGCACCCAAAAACACACAAGAAAAUAUGCCUAAAAGAGAAAAAAAAGGAAAAGGCAUCUGAGAAAGGCUGACAGCCGCAGACGAAGAGACACCCCCUGCGUCGUCUUCUCCAAACGACCCCUGCUCUCUUCAUCAACCCUAGACACAAAAAGACCCUCCCCCAGCAUCAGCUUCUUCAGCCAUGAACCUCCAUUUCACCCCCCCCCCUCCCAGCACUCCAUUGAAGCAACCGAAUAGAGCUCCAAAAUGAGCUGAUAACUCCCCGUAAAACUAGCCUUUAAGUUACUUCGAAGAAGCCUUGAAAAAAAGUCCGAAAUCCGGCCAGAAAUCAGAAAAAAAAGGAGUGUCUCGUUCUCUCCCAGACUCGCCGGAAAACGUGCCUGGUUCAUCUCGUUAUUUUUCGUUCAAAUUCCGGCAGAAUCCGGUUGGUCUUCCGGCGAAGUUCCUGUUCCUCCGGCGAGGCUUUCAGUUUGUCGAGGUUAACGUUCGUAACUCCGAAAUGGAGUUUGAUCGAAGGGUCAUUUGCUGAUUCGAGUUAUGUCUAGGAUUUCUGUCGCUGCUCUUGGUUUAAUUGUGGAGUAGCAGCAAUUUUAAAGUUUAGAUUCAAUCAAUACAAGGUCUAUUUUUACACCCAUUUCUUAAUGUGUUGUUUGUUUCUUCGUCUAUUAGUCAUGUGAAUAUUCUAGUUUUUAAAUGUGAUGAUUGUUUGUGUAUUGUCUUUUUAUAAGUUUCAUAUCUUGAAUCAGUAGAUCUAAUUGAUUAAACUUGUAUGGAAAAUAUUUGUUUCAUGGGAUGCAAAAGCAAUUUUGUUGAAAAUGGGUUAGAUUGGGUGAGGCCGUAAAAUACUUCAGCCGUUGGUAUUUUACUGUUUUGAUUGGGUGUAAAACAUCUUUAGUCCUAAGUAAUUUAGGACAUAAAAUGAUUUUUCUAACCAUUUGUUGAUAUUGGUUGCAUUUAAUAGUUGAAAAUAUCUACGUUACGUUAAUAUAAUUGUAGUGGGUCAUGAUGUUGGGUAUAGCACUACAAUAAAUGCAAGAUAGAGUUAUGUUGCUAAGGAUAAUGUUCAUUUCCUUUGCCAAUCUUUUGUUUGGCAAAUCUUGAAGGAGAUAUAACCAAUUUUGUACUAAUUUGUUGUAGACGGUUGAGAGAAUUAGUCUUCGUCUACUUUAUUAUUAAUAAUAUUAGGCACGUAAUUAAAUUAUCACAACUAUGGGUAUAAUUUUCGUAACGUGGUUGUGAUACUUAGUUUUUCUUUAAAAUUAGAUAUAAGUAGGAGUAUUUUUGAUUGGAUUUAGCGAAAUACGAAUUUUUUCUUUUAAAAUAAUUAAGGUGCGUCGUGCCAAAUAAAAUCUUAAAAUGCAUGGCACUCGCUUAAUUAAUAUUUUAAUCCUUAGAAUUCGAGGCGUGCCAUUUAGGUGAAUUUUCAUGGCCCUCGCAAAUUUAAAAAUGCAUAGUUGCUUUAGGCGCAUAAUUUAAAUUACUUUCCUAAACUCGGGUGUGCAUUUAUGUGACCCAAAUCCAAAUCUCAACAACAUUAAAUAAAAUGUGUCGUGGACCGCGGGUGCAUUUAUGUGACGUGGUUCAAGAUGUGUUUUAGAUGACAUUGAAUCUUCCUAAAAAAUAUUUAAAUAAAAGCGGUUAUAAAGUUAAAAUUGAACCAUAGGCUAAAACAUGUGUUAAAAUCAGAUAAUAGGCCAAAUAUAACAGUUGAGCGACCGUGCUAGAACCACGGAAUCCGGGAAUGCCUAACACCUUCUCCCGGAUUAAUAGAAUUCCUUACCCGGAUCUCUAUGUUUGCAAACUGUAAAUAGAGUCAAUCUUCUCCCUGAUUCGUGAUUUGAACCGGUGACUUGAGACACUAUAAAUUAUCCCAAGUGGCGACUCUGAAUUUUAAAUAAUUAGUCUCGUUUCGAUUGUCACUUUAAGUUGAAAAAAACUCCAUUAUACCCUUCCGGAGGUAGGAAAAAGGAGGUGUGAUAGCUCUGACGACUCUGUUGGGGACAAGAACCCAGAACUUCUGGUUCAGGGUUCAGAAUUCGAGCUUAGAAUAAUUGUUAUAAUUGGCUUUGUUUAUUAUCUGGUUUUAAUUACAUAUUUGGGCAUAAUGUGCUAAAUGUUGCUUUUUACUGUUUUGAUAUUAUUUGAACUGUAUAUAAACUGCUACGAAACCCUUCUCUUCUCAUCUUCGGGGAUGUGCACGCUGGCGUGACUCCCUAUUCUGUUAGUGUCAUACCUUGAAAUAAGAAAGAGGCUCGGACAAGUUACAAAGCCGGAUGGCCUUUUGGUUCCCGGUACGUAUCCCCUCCUCGACUCGAGUUGUCCGCUCGGGUACACAAGUCUAGAACAAUAUACUCAGGUUUUGAACCUAGAAUAACUUAGCCUCAUGCCGGAUCCUUAGUAGGAACGUUUGUUUGCAUCAUGUGCAUUUGACUUUGGGGACUCAAUACAGGAGUUGGGUCCGUCUAGGACAGGUAUUCCCAAAAUAACAGACCAUCUUGAUACAUCCUAUUUGCCACAUGUUGCAUUUUUUCAAGGUUAAAAGGGUCAUUUGGCGGACCAAUGAUAGUUGAGGGCAAAUGAAAAGAAAAAAAAGAAGGUGAAGUGUGAAAAAAAGCAAGUAGGACCCAGUUAUGUUUUUUGUUACAUUAUUAUUAAGAAAAAGGAAAAAAAACAUGAAAAAUUCAAAAAUAUUUUGCACUUUUUCAUCAUUUUCCGAAAAUCAAAUAAAUCCAAAAAGAUUUUGCCUUUUUUCAUCAUUUUCAAGGAAAAGACAAAAAAUAUAUUUUCUCUAGAUUAGUUAUUUUUUUUAUUCUCGUCGUAUUCAAUCUGCCCGAACUACGCAUACCUGAUUCUCGUCUUUCGGGGUGUGAUACGUAGGCAACCCACAUAGGGUCCGGUCUUCCUAGUAAAUCUUAGGUUCUUGGCUUCGCGGGGUCUUAGCCAAAUCUUGCACUUUUAGCCACAUAGGUUAAUUUUAGAAAAAAUAAUCGCAACCAUGUCUUGCAUGUGUCUAAUAAGGAAUGUUAUUGUCUCACAUAGUGUUGGUUUAAGUUUUCUCAUACAGGUGUGAAUUUACUUACCGGAGUUUGAGCAUGACAGAUACCCCAGGAUCACUGCAUUCAGGAGCUGCUCGAGGAGUCAUUUUAUGUUUUUGAGUCAAUUGAUCAUGUUUUACUUUCUAGUCAUGUAUAGUAGUAUCGAGUCUCUUAGGUGAUGUUAGAGUUUAUAAUUAGUCUAGUUAAGUUUGCCGAUUCUUUUGUUAUUGUAUUUCUUAUUUUGUAUUUGAAAAUGUGUUACAAGUCAAAAAUCAAAAAAAAAAGAAAUUUUGCGUUUUUAUAUUUCCGUUAUAAGUUUUCUUUAGAAUACUAAUUCUAGAAA